GCUAAGGAGAGCGGGCAGGCAAGGAGAUUCCGGGCCAGGGUCGCGGCGGCAGUCGGCAAGCGUUCGAUUCUCUGGCGUUGGAUCGCGAGCGGUGUCUGCUUGUCCCGCCGAGGGCUCCCAGGACAGGGCAGGGAUCUAGGGGGUUUGCGCACCUGCUUUUUAAUGCCCCGCCCCCCUUUUUUUUUUAAAGUGGAGCGGGUGAAAGUGAGGGAGGAGAAUGGACAGAAUACUGACUGGAACGUUAAUUCGAGCAUUUCGUAUGCGAAGAGCGGAAUAACAGUUCCGUAUUCUUCUUUCAGUUUCUCCAUUAGAUUAGCUUCAUUUUCGAAUGCUCCGUUUUGCAUGCUUAAUUUUGAAACUAGCCCGUGGUUUGGCAGAAUUUGACUGAAUUCAGGGGUGAGAGUUUGAUCCAGUCCAAGUGUAUUUGAAUUUGAGCACGCAGUUCAACCAGUGUUUACAAUGGAAUUUCUGAAGACUUGUGUACUUAGAAGAAAUGCAUGCACUGCGGUUUGCUUCUGGAGAAGCAAAGUUGUCCAAAAGCCUUCAGUUAGAAGAAUUAGUACUACCUCUCCAAGGAGCACUGUCAUGCCUGCUUGGGUGAUAGAUAAAUAUGGGAAGAAUGAAGUGCUUCGAUUCACUCAGAACAUGAUGAUGCCUAUCAUACACUAUCCAAAUGAAGUCAUUGUCAAAGUUCACGCUGCCAGUGUAAAUCCUAUAGACGUUAAUAUGAGAAGUGGUUAUGGAGCUACAGCUUUAAAUAUGAAGCGUGAUCCUUUACACGUGAAAAUCAAAGGAGAAGAAUUUCCUCUGACUCUGGGUCGGGAUGUCUCUGGCGUGGUGAUGGAAUGUGGGCUUGAUGUGAAAUACUUCAAGCCUGGAGAUGAGGUCUGGGCUGCAGUUCCUCCUUGGAAACAAGGCACUCUUUCAGAGUUUGUUGUAGUCAGUGGGAAUGAGGUCUCUCACAAACCCAAAUCACUCACUCAUACUCAAGCUGCCUCUUUGCCAUAUGUGGCUCUCACAGCCUGGUCUGCUAUAAACAAAGUUGGUGGCCUGAAUGACAAGAAUUGCACAGGAAAACGUGUUCUAAUCUUAGGCGCUUCAGGCGGAGUUGGUACUUUUGCUAUACAGGUAAUGAAAGCAUGGGAUGCUCAUGUGACAGCAGUUUGCUCCCAAGAUGCCAGUGAACUUGUAAGGAAGCUUGGUGCAGACGAUGUAAUUGAUUAUAAAUCUGGAAGUGUGGAAGAGCAGUUGAAAUCCUUAAAACCGUUUGAUUUUAUCCUUGAUAAUGUUGGCGGAUCCACUGAAACAUGGGCUCCAGAUUUUCUCAAGAAAUGGUCAGGAGCCACCUAUGUGACUUUGGUGACUCCUUUCCUCCUGAACAUGGACCGAUUGGGCAUAGCAGAUGGCAUGUUGCAGACAGGAGUCACUGUAGGUUCGAAGGCAUUAAAGCAUUUCUGGAAAGGAGUCCAUUAUCGCUGGGCAUUUUUCAUGGCCAGUGGCCCAUGUUUAGAUGAUAUUGCAGAACUGGUGGACGCGGGAAAGAUCCGGCCAGUUAUUGAACAAACCUUUCCUUUUUCUAAAGUUCCAGAAGCCUUCCUGAAGGUGGAAAGAGGACACGCACGAGGAAAGACUAGACAGGGUCUCGCUGUGUCACCCAGGCUGGAGUGCAGUGGCACAAUCACAGCUCACUGCAGCCUUGACCUUAAGCGAUUCUCCUGCUUCAGCCUCUCAAGUAGGUAGGACUACAGGUAUGCAUCACCACACCCAGCUAAUUUUUUUGUAUUUUUAGUAGAGACAGUUUUGCCAUGUUGCCCAGGCUGGUCUCAAACUCCUGGGCUUAAGUGAUCCACCAUGUCAGUCUUCCAAAGUUCUGGAAUUACAGGCGUGAACCACCCUGCUGGGCCUGAUCGUCUUAAUGUACAAUACUAAAACUUUCAGUGUAUAGAUGGAUGUUGGCAUGAAGAGAUAAUUUAAAGCUGGUUCCUUCUUGAAUUCAUCACUGAGCACCUUUCUAACUGCCAAGGUUUCCUUUUUUGUUCCUCCACCAUAAUGUGGUCACCACAGCUCUUAAAGUUCUAAAUCUCUUAGUGUCAUAUAUAAAAAUCUGCCUGGUGAUUCAUUUGUUUAUGCUCUUAAUAUUGAAAGGUGAGAGCAGAGUUUCUAACUUUUUAAAACCCUUACAUCUUGCAUAAGGAUUAGGCCUGUUUCGGCAAUUGAAACAUGCUUCUCUGAGGGCUUUUCCAUGGAAAUUGCAGCCUUCCAAUGGAGCCCAAAGCUUGCCACUUUGAUGUCAAAUGUUUACAUUUAGAUAUCUCUCCAAUCAACCCAUUGCAGUGUGCACUUCGAAUAUUCAUUUACGGUAGGUCUCACUCUGUUGCCCAGGCUGAAGGGCAGUGGCACGAUCACAGCUCACUGCAGCCUCAACCUCCCAGACUCAAGUGAUCUCCCACCUCAGCCUCCUGAGUAGCUGGGACUACAGGCGUGCACCACCACACCUGACUAAUUUUUGUGUUUUCAAUAGAGACAGGGUUUCAACAUGUUGCCCAGGCUUGUCUGGAACUGCUGGGUUCCAGUGAUCUGCCCACUUUGACCUCCCAAAGUGCUAGGGUUACAGACGUGAGUCACUGCGCCCAGCUUCUGUGAUUUUUUUAAUUUUCUUUUUUAGAUGGAGUUUCACUCUUGUCACCCAGGCUGGAGUGCACUGGUGUGAUCUCAGCUCACUGCAACCUCCACCUCCCGGGUUCAAGUGAUUCUCCUGCCUCAGCCUCCCGAGUAGCUGGGAUUACAGGGGCCCCACGACCACACCUGGCUAAUUUUUGUAUUUUUUAGUAGAGACAGGGUUUCACCACGUUGGCCAGGCUGGUCCUGAACUCCUGACCUCAGGUGAUCCACCCGCUUUGCCCUCCCAAAGUGCUGGGAUUACAGGCAGGAGCCACUGCACCCAGCCCGGCCUGAUUAUUUUUUAAAUAGAUGUAGUCCACCCCAACAUCUGUUGUACACAGGUACACCAUACCUAUUGUUUUUGUGAAUAAAAGAAAAAUACUUCCUUAAAAACAUGUAUUACAUUGAUGGUACUCAUUCAUUUUUAUAUCUUAUUCAAAAGUAUUCGAAGUUGAGGGGAAAAAAUCUUUCCAAGUUGACCUUUAAUCAUUUGUGUAACAUCUGCCAGUCAUUCCCAGCUAAAGGAAAAUCCCAACCCUGAGCUCCAAAAGCAGAGGACUUGCUCUUUUUUAAAGGGAUAAGUAAAGUCAGCUCUUUCUUACUUGCUAGACUAUGA